rnacentral:rRNA from 1 species
CCUACGGGAGGCAGCAGUGAGGAAUAUUGGUCAAUGGACGAGAGUCUGAACCAGCCAAGUAGCGUGAAGGAUGACUGCCCUAUGGGUUGUAAACUUCUUUUAUAUGGGAAUAAAACAUGGUAUGCAUACUCUUUUGUAUGUACCAUAUGAAUAAGGAUCGGCUAACUCCGUGCCAGCAGCCGCGGUAAUACGGAGGAUCCGAGCGUUAUCCGGAUUUAUUGGGUUUAAAGGGAGCGUAGGUGGAUUGUUAAGUCAGUUGUGAAAGUUUGCGGCUCAACCGUAAAAUUGCAGUUGAAACUGGCAGUCUUGAGUACAGUAGAGGUGGGCGGAAUUCGUGGUGUAGCGGUGAAAUGCUUAGAUAUCACGAAGAACUCCGAUUGCGAAGGCAGCUCACUGGACUGCAACUGACACUGAUGCUCGAAAGUGUGGGUAUCAAACAGGAUUAGAUACCCCUGUAGUC